rnacentral:rRNA from 1 species
CCUACGGGAGGCAGCAGUGAGGAAUAUUGGUCAAUGGACGAAAGUCUGAACCAGCCAUGCCGCGUGCAGGAUGACGGCUCUAUGAGUUGUAAACUGCUUUUGUACGAGGGUAAACCCCGAUACGUGUAUCGGGUUGAAAGUAUCGUACGAAUAAGGAUCGGCUAACUCCGUGCCAGCAGCCGCGGUAAUACGGAGGAUCCGAGCGUUAUCCGGAUUUAUUGGGUUUAAAGGGUGCGUAGGCGGUUGGAUAAGUUAGAGGUGAAAUGUCGGGGCUCAACCCCGGAACUGCCUUUAAUACUGUUGGACUAGAGAAUAGUAGAGGUAGGCGGAAUGUGUGGUGUAGCGGUGAAAUGCUUAGAGAUCAUACAGAACACCGAUUGCGAAGGCAGCUUACCAAACUAUAUCUGACGUUGAGGCACGAAAGCGUGGGUAGCGAACAGGAUUAGAUACCCCUGUAGUC